rnacentral:rRNA from 1 species
GAGUGGCGGACGGGUGAGUAACACGUGGGUAACCUGCCCAGAAGCAGGGGAUAACACCUGGAAACAGAUGCUAAUACCGUAUAACAGAGAAAACCGCCUGGUUUUCUUUUAAAAGAUGGCUCUGCUAUCACUUCUGGAUGGACCCGCGGCGCAUUAGCUAGUUGGUGAGGUAACGGCUCACCAAGGCGAUGAUGCGUAGCCGACCUGAGAGGGUAAUCGGCCACAUUGGGACUGAGACACGGCCCAGACUCCUACGGGAGGCAGCAGUAGGGAAUCUUCCACAAUGGACGCAAGUCUGAUGGAGCAACGCCGCGUGAGUGAAGAAGGGUUUCGGCUCGUAAAGCUCUGUUGUUAAAGAAGAACGUGGGUGAGAGUAACUGUUCACCCAGUGACGGUAUUUAACCAGAAAGCCACGGCUAACUACGUGCCAGCAGCCGCGGUAAUACGUAGGUGGCAAGCGUUAUCCGGAUUUAUUGGGCGUAAAGCGAGCGCAGGCGGUCUUUUAAGUCUAAUGUGAAAGCCUUCGGCUCAACCGAAGAAGUGCAUUGGAAACUGGGAGACUUGAGUGCAGAAGAGGACAGUGGAACUCCAUGUGUAGCGGUGAAAUGCGUAGAUAUAUGGAAGAACACCAGUGGCGAAGGCGGCUGUCUGGUCUGUAACUGACGCUGAGGCUCGAAAGCAUGGGUAGCGAACAGGAUUAGAUACCCUGGUAGUCCAUGCCGUAAACGAUGAUUACUAAGUGUUGGAGGGUUUCCGCCCUUCAGUGCUGCAGCUAACGCAUUAAGUAAUCCGCCUGGGGAGUACGACCGCAAGGUUGAAACUCAAAAGAAUUGACGGGGGCCCGCACAAGCGGUGGAGCAUGUGGUUUAAUUCGAAGCUACGCGAAGAACCUUACCAGGUCUUGACAUCUUCUGCCAACCUAAGAGAUUAGGCGUUCCCUUCGGGGACAGAAUGACAGGUGGUGCAUGGUUGUCGUCAGCUCGUGUCGUGAGAUGUUGGGUUAAGUCCCGCAACGAGCGCAACCCUUAUUACUAGUUGCCAGCAUUCAGUUGGGCACUCUAGUGAGACUGCCGGUGACAAACCGGAGGAAGGUGGGGACGACGUCAAAUCAUCAUGCCCCUUAUGACCUGGGCUACACACGUGCUACAAUGGAUGGUACAACGAGUCGCGAAACCGCGAGGUUUAGCUAAUCUCUUAAAACCAUUCUCAGUUCGGACUGUAGGCUGCAACUCGCCUACACGAAGUCGGAAUCGCUAGUAAUCGCGGAUCAGCAUGCCGCGGUGAAUACGUUCCCGGGCCUUGUACACACCGCCCGUCACACCAUGAGAGUUUGUAACACCCAAAGCCGGUGGGGUAACCUUUUAGGAGCUAGCCGUCUAAGGUGG